rnacentral:rRNA from 1 species
UGCAAGUCGAACGGGCGGUAGCAAUACCGUCAGUGGCGGACGGGUGAGUAACACGUGGAUAACCUGCCUGACUCCCCGGGAUAACAGACCGAAAGGUCCGCUAAUACCGGGUAAGCUCACGGGGCCGCAUGGUCCUGGGAGAAAAGGUCCUGCAAAGGACUGGGGACAGAGGGAUCCGCGGCCCAUUAGCUAGUUGGGGGGGUAACGGCCCACCAAGGCGACGAUGGGUAGCCGGCCUGAGAGGGCGACCGGCCACACUGGGACUGAGACGCGGCCCAGACUCCUACGGGAGGCAGCAGUCGGGAAUUUUGGGCAAUGGCCGAAAGGGCUGACCCAGCAACGCCGCGUGAGUGAAGAAGGCCUUCGGGUUGUAAAGCUCUGUUGCCCGGGAAGAACGGUAGCUCCAGGAAAUGGGAGUUACUUGACGGUACCGGGAGAGGAAGCUCCGGCUAACUACGUGCCAGCAGCCGCGGUAAUACGUAGGGAGCGAGCGUUGUCCGGAUUUAUUGGGCGUAAAGGGCGUGUAGGCGGCUUUUUAAGUCAGGGGUGAAACCCCGGGGCUCAACCCCGGGCCUGCCUCUGAAACUGGGAAGCUUGAGUGCUCUAGAGGGCAGUGGAAUUCCCGGUGUAGCAGUGAAAUGCGUAGAGAUCGGGAGGAACACCAGUGGCGAAGGCGACUGCCUGGGGAGUAACUGACGCUGAGGCGCGAAAGCUGGGGGAGCAAACGGGAUUAGAUACCCCGGUAGUCCCAGCCGUAAACGAUGAGUGCUAGGUGUGAGGGGUAUCGACCCCCCUCGUGCCGCAGUUAACGCAAUAAGCACUCCGCCUGGGGAGUACGGCCGCAAGGUUGAAACUCAAAGGAAUUGACGGGGGCCCGCACAAGCAGCGGAGCAUGUGGUUUAAUUCGAAGCAACGCGUA